AGAGUUUGAUCCUGGCUCAGAUUGAACGCUGGCGGCAGGCUUAACACAUGCAAGUCGAGCGGUAACAGAGAUAGCUUGCUAUCUGCUGACGAGCGGCGGACGGGUGAGUAAUGCUUGGGAAUAUGCCUUAUGGUGGGGGACAACAGUUGGAAACGACUGCUAAUACCGCAUAACGUCUACGGACCAAAGGGGGGGAUCUUCGGACCUCUCGCCAUUUGAUUAGCCCAAGUGAGAUUAGCUAGUUGGUGAGGUAAUGGCUCACCAAGGCGACGAUCUCUAGCUGGUUUGAGAGGAUGAUCAGCCACACUGGGACUGAGACACGGCCCAGACUCCUACGGGAGGCAGCAGUGGGGAAUAUUGCACAAUGGGCGAAAGCCUGAUGCAGCCAUGCCGCGUGUGUGAAGAAGGCCUUCGGGUUGUAAAGCACUUUCAGUUGUGAGGAAAGGGGUGUAGUUAAUAGCUGCAUUCUGUGACGUUAACAACAGAAGAAGCACCGCUAACU
rnacentral:rRNA from 1 species